rnacentral:lncRNA from 1 species
AGUGGCUGUAAUUUGUGGCUGAAAUGUGGCGGAAAGGACAGCAUUACGAUACCACACACUAUGUACCCGGAUAAUCUUGACUCUGUUCAGCGACCCUGACUCAGUGCCAACAUGGCUGAUGGAAAGACGAUGUGCAGCCAGAAGGAAAGUACACAGAUGUCUGGCUCUCUCAGAAUCACAAAACACAAACAGGAAACAUGUCAGUUUAAUAUCACAGAUGCAGUACCAAUGGCAUGCUGACCAUCGUUUCAGUGCACAAGAGAGCUCUUUUCCACCAGGAAAUAUGAUAGUUUUGCUCAAGGAACAUCAGUUUACUUGCUGAAAUUCUUUGCUCGACGCCAUUGCAUUUAUUACGCUUUGUUUGUUCGCAUUCCAGAGUAUGUCUGGGAUUGUUACUAUUUUUAGAAUGUAAUGGCUUAUCAGUGACGUGUACAAGUAUCGAUCAGGGGAAUGUGCUAUUGAAAGUGUAUGCCAGUAGUUACACCGUGUAUAUACACUAACACCAACUGAGGGAACACACGGUGAGUAAACUGACCAGUAUCUUUGUGCACAUAUCUCGGUGUUACUCCCUCAAAAGACUAUGAAAUGCAUUUCAUCUAUUCCCUUUCAUUACUGAAUGCCACAAGCCGUUCGACUCAUGUAAUUAGCAACCCGACUACCUAUAAAACGGGGUAAAAUUUAAUAUGCAUUACUAUAUCAAUAAAUACCGAAGAUACAUAAACGGUUCACAGGUCUUCGUUCUCACGAAUGAUCUUGUCAGCCAAUGAUUUUACAGAGCAUCUACUUAUUGCCGAUUGAAACACAAUGUCUUCGCAGCCUUAUGCGCGUAAAUUGUUGUUUCCAGAUUGUUUAGUACAACAGAUACUGGCCAAUUUACUGACAUGAGGACAUCCGUAUUCUGCGGCAAUGUGGCAUAUUUGCGGCUUGUCUGUGGUCACCACGGCGCAUUUAUCAUCAGAGUAAAUUGGUUUUUAUAAUAAGAUCAUUAAUUACCUACUGCUUGACAGGACAACACUAGUUUGUCUUAUCCUUAUAUGGCAAUACUACGUGAAACUGUUUCUUGUUUUAUUGUACUAGGUUACCGACAUGUCUUUUGUUUUAACUGUAAACUGUUCAAUCUCUGCUUUGUUCCUUUUGAUAAA